rnacentral:rRNA from 1 species
AGAGUUUGAUCCUGGCUCAGAUUGAACGCUGGCGGCAUGCUUUACACAUGCAAGUCGAACGGGGUGGGGGGCAACUUCCACUCAGUGGCGAACGGGUGAGUAAUGCAUCGGAACGUAUCCCGUAGUGGGGGACAACGCCGCGAAAGCGGCGCUAAUACCGCAUAUGCUCUACGGAGGAAAGUGGGGGACCUGAAAGGGCCUCACGCUAUGGGAGCGGCCGAUGUCCGAUUAGCUAGUUGGUGGGGUAAUGGCCCACCAAGGCGACGAUCGGUAGCUGGUCUGAGAGGAUGAUCAGCCACACUGGGACUGAGACACGGCCCAGACUCCUACGGGAGGCAGCAGUGGGGAAUUUUGGACAAUGGGGGCAACCCUGAUCCAGCCAUGCCGCGUGCGGGAAGAAGGCCUUCGGGUUGUAAACCGCUUUUAGUCGGGAAGAAAAGGCCAGGUCGAAUACACCUGGUUCUUGACGGUACCGGCGGAAUAAGCACCGGCUAACUACGUGCCAGCAGCCGCGGUAAUACGUAGGGUGCGAGCGUUAAUCGGAAUUACUGGGCGUAAAGCGUGCGUAGGCGGUUUGUUAAGUCUGUCGUGAAAGCCCCGGGCUCAACCUGGGAAUGGCGGUGGAUACUGGCAGGCUAGAGUACGGUAGAGGAUGGUGGAAUUCCCGGUGUAGCAGUGAAAUGCGUAGAGAUCGGGAGGAACAUCUAUGGCGAAGGCAGCCAUCUGGACCAGUACUGACGCUGAGGCACGAAAGCGUGGGGGAGCAAACAGGAUUAGAUACCCUGGUAGUCCACGCCCUA